UAAGUAGGCGGUGGAAAAUGAACCAAAUGGGAUUCCUUAAGUAAUUGCGAAUGAACAAGGAAAUGCUCAGCUUGAAAAAUGGGGCCUUUGGCUUUGAAUUGUAAUUUUGAAAUGUAUUGCCAAUGGAGGCGCAGGUGCAAGCCUAUUGAAAGAAAGCGUCAAUGAGGGUGAGAUUCCUUUUUGUCAUUUGCAGUCCUCCGUGCACGGUAUAUAUUUGACGAGUCACACUCCUCGGCAUUGGAAUGCAAAGUGGGUGGUAAAUUCCAUGUAAAGGUAAAUAUAUUAUUGAGACUGAUAGCAAACAAGUACCAUGAGGGAAAUAUGAAAAGGACUUUGAAAAGAGAAUUAAAAGAGUCUGCAUUUGCUGAACAGAAAGCAAACAGAAUUGAUUUUACUUGGUGAGAUUGUUGUGCUUACUCUAUCAUUUAUAUGGUUGAUGUGGGUGCGAUGGUUCUUACCUUGAAUGUCAGCUUCUAUUUCUGCAAAUCAUUACCCUUGCACAUGAAUGGUAAUUUGCCUGCGGGUAUUGGAAUGCAUGUGUUUGCAAUGAUUUGUGAUUUGACGCAUGUGUUUGGUGAAAUUUGUAUAUGCUCUUUUGUCGAAGGGGAAAGCUUACUUUUUUGAGCAUUGCAAGCCCUUACACAUCAGUGCUGGCAAAAUGUUUCUGCUUGACCCG
rnacentral:rRNA from 1 species